CAAGCUUUGCAAGAACAUACAACGAAAUAAAACCUAAAUAAACUGUUUGUAUAAAAAAGAGGGCUCCUUUGUGCACAUGCUCAGAUCGGACUGUACAGCAUCUUUAACAUAAUAUGAAAUAAUCCUACCGACCUAUAGUACUCAUACAUUCACCUGGCUGUGUCAUGCAAUACAUUUCAGGGUAUGCUAUUUAUUCUUGGGUUUCACUAAGGCAUUAUGCAGUGAAUCUGACUGGGGGUCAACCUCAAAUGUAUUGAUGCUUAUGCUGUACUGGAGUGAGAAAAUGAUACGAAAUUCCAUGUAUUUGCCACCAAACACAAAGCUAAUACAUAAAACAAACAAUCGACUCACUCUGAUAAUUGUGUUUUGU